AAAUUAAAGAAGAAAGCGAGAUAGAAAAGGAUAUUGAAUGCCAUACUUGGCCGCUAAGCUCUCUCUCUCUCUCUCUCUCUGUAAAAGUGUCACUUAAUUAACAACAAACAUCUAGAUAUACAAGAGUUUUAUGUAUAUAUAGCUGAUCAACUUCAAUAGCUACGUUGCAAUUUCAGCAAGGAAGGAAGCUGAAGAAAUAUCCAUAGGUCUUUUUUGAUCAAGAGAGAGAGAGAGAGAGAUCAGAUCAUCAUCUCCAUCAGAGAGGAAUGCCACCACCAUGGGGACCGCCGGGAGGAGGAGGUCCGGGAGGGUUUGGUUGCUUAGGUGACCUCUGCAGCGGUAUAUGCAGCUUUAUCUCAUCUUGUGCUUAUAUCUUGUGCUGCUGCUGCUUGUUUGAGAGCUGCUGUGGACCAGUGUUCGGCGGCGGCCCUGGCGGACCAGGUGGCCCUGGCGGUGGCCCCCCUCGUUGGUGAACAUUAUCCACUCGCUACGUUCCAGGCUUGUCGAUCAAGAUGUUCUUGUAGCUUUUAUCUGUAAUUUUUCUCUGUUGAGUUUGAAUAAAUGUUAUGUAAUAAACAAGUGAGAGAGAGAUGUUGCAAAUGCUGUGUGUGUUGCAACUUGCUCCUCAGUACUCGGUAUUCUCCCUUUGAAUUGUAGUCAAUUUUUGUGUUUAAUUUCAUCAAUUUGCAAAUUUCCUUCAUGUUU